rnacentral:rRNA from 1 species
AUUGAACGCUGGCGGCAGGCCUAACACAUGCAAGUCGAACGAGUGGCGGACGGGUGAGUAAUGUCUGGGAAACUGCCUGAUGGAGGGGGAUAACUACUGGAAACGGUAGCUAAUACCGCAUAACAUCAGAUGAGCCCAGAUGGGAUUAGCUAGUUGGUGGGGUAACGGCUCACCAAGGCGACGAUGCCUAGCUGGUCUGAGAGGAUGACCAGCCACACUGGGACGGAGACACGGCCCAGACUCCUACGGGAGGCAGCAGUGGGUAAUAUUGCACAAUGGGCGCAAGUCUGAUGCAGCCAUGCCGCGUGUAUGAAGAAGGCCUUCGGGUUGUAAAGUACUUUCAGCUGGGAGGUGUUACCCGCAGAAGAAGCACCGGCUAACUCCGUGCCAGCAGCCGCGGUAAUUC